CUCGGGUAUUCCCUCUGAUCUCCUACACAUUUUCAGCCAUUCACAGGUUCGGCGUCCACUGCCUCUAACCAGUUAGCUGUGGAACUGCAUCAGCUCUCCAACAAAACCUCCCAAAAAGUGAGUGGGUGAAAGGAUCAAACCAGCUGGAGACCUUUUUUUCCAGAAGAGGGGGAUGUCGUCAAUGUUUUGCACUUUUACAAUAAACUUUAACGAAAAGGGAUAAUGAGAAG